CCCUCGAUAAGGAGUCCAAAUCUCAUCAGAAAUCUAAGCACAUCGAGCGGUAGUUCACAUUAUACAUGACUACCUCAAGAUGAAAUACGUCAAGGUGUGAAGAGUAGACUCCAUGGACAAUGUGAUUGACCUACUGAUGAAGCAGUUGGGCCAGCAGAAGAUUGAAGUCCAUCUUGAAAAGAUGGAUCUUAAGUAUAUGGCUAAUUGGCUUUAGAUCAAG
rnacentral:lncRNA from 1 species